rnacentral:rRNA from 1 species
AUUGAACGCUGGCGGCAUGCCUUACACAUGCAAGUCGAACGGUAACAGGUCUUCGGAUGCUGACGAGUGGCGAACGGGUGAGUAAUACAUCGGAACGUGCCCGAUCGUGGGGGAUAACGCAGCGAAAGCUGUGCUAAUACCGCAUACGAUCUACGGAUGAAAGCGGGGGAUCGCAAGACCUCGCGCGGACGGAGCGGCCGAUGGCAGAUUAGGUAGUUGGUGGGAUAAAAGCUUACCAAGCCGACGAUCUGUAGCUGGUCUGAGAGGACGACCAGCCACACUGGGACUGAGACACGGCCCAGACUCCUACGGGAGGCAGCAGUGGGGGAUCUUGCACAAUGGGCGAAAGCCUGAUGCAGCGACGCCGCGUGAGCGAAGAAGGCCUUCGGGUCGUAAACCUCUUUUCUGGGGAAAGAGACAGGACGGUACCUCAGGAAUAAGUCUCGGCUAACUACGUGCCAGCAGCCGCGGUAAACGUAGCGUG